GAGCACGUCAUCUCUCUAGAAUAUUUCUCAACGCCUUCUUUCUUAUUCUUUAUCCUAUCCACCGUCGUUCUCCUUCAUUCUCAUUUCUUGCACACUGACACCAGCCCCUCCUGCUGGCUGCCCCUUGCUCCCUCCCAUGGGGCUCCCCCUGGAUCCCUCUCCAUGGCGUGGAUCAGCCCCAGCUUCCCAUGGAUGUCGCCCUCCUCUCCCUGAUGGCUGGCGUCUCCACUCCCUGCAGCAAGGACGCUUUCCUCUGCUCCCUGCUCUUCCUCCCAUGGCCCCCCAUGUAGCAGUAACCAUGGAAACCCCUCUGGGACGCGCCCUCAGCAUGCUCAAUGAUAUGCUGCAGCGAGCUCCACCUUGAUCUAUGCCAACCCGGCCGCAAAUCAUCGAACCUUGGGGAACCCUUGGGACCGAUGGUGAAGAGGUGAAGCCCAUCCAACGUUUGUUAAAUGUUCGAUAGAAGGUUCGAACCAAAAGUCAUCGUCGAUCUUGUGAUUUAGAGUUUGGUUUAGUUAUUGUGAUCUCCUUCGCAAUCCAUGUUAAUUAACUUGUAUGGUGGGAUGGAAUAGAUGUAUUGGUUGUGAUGGUCAUCUUGUUUAUGUUCAUGUUGUUAUGGAGGUGUCAGAUAAUUGAUGAAAUGUCGUAGUUGGGUGCAAAAACAUGAUUGUGGUAGUUUGACCUUUGUGAUUUGUAUUCUUGCAAAGGGACUUGACUUUGAAAUAUUGCAAAUAUGAAUAAGGUAUUCCUGACAUGAUUUUAGCCA